rnacentral:lncRNA from 10 species
GAUUUGCGCUGGGUUUUGGAACCAGCAAUUGGCCACAGGCACACACACCCCCAAUCAGAGGCGCGCACCCCGCUCGCUCCCGGAACUGUCAUGCGGGCUGACAGCUGGCACACCCUCCUGUCGCCCUCCACCCGCCUGCAGAAAGCCCACUCCCUACAGUCACCUUGACAUUGCUCACCUGCCUGGGCCUCAGCCCAUGACCAAGGAAACUUUUGCCCUCCCUCCCCAGGAGCUCACUUACAGGCCAUCUUCAAAGGUACUGCCUACCUGAACCUGCCUUGUCCCAAAGGACACACUUCAAUCUGGGGAGAGUUUAAAGUUGUAGACAUAUCCAUUUUCAUUUAAGGAAUAUGAAGAUCAGGGAGGCAAAAUAUAGAGAUAUAGAGAGGAAAAACUGAGAGAUGAUCAGAAAUUCAGACGCAUUCGGAAUGAGCACCCUUGACCAUACCAAGAACAAAGACUCUAUAAAAAUGUGAAGUCUUAUUAUUGUUCAUCCAUGUUCUACGUGGGAUCCACCCAAGACAUUGAAAACUGUACAGAACAGGGUGAAAUUGAAUCAGAUCAUUCUGUACUCCUAACAAGGUCCACCCCAUGAGAGACUUGCAGCAGAAUUAAUGACACUGUAUAUUUUCCUCUACUAACAACAACAAGAACAACAACAACAACAAUCUAGGAAAAUCAAAGGCAGCCCGACAUGGAAAAAAACACAAAAUGAAUAUUUGGAUUACAAAUAGUGUGAUGGGAAGAACACACUGCCAAAAGUCCACCUAGUAUGUUGAAAUUACUGUUUCUAGCACAUAUAAGUCAACUUACCUAUAAAAGGAUACAAAAACUGAAGAACAGAGAGGAGCAGAUACCCUGGAAAGCCGAAAGUUUUAUUGACCAAAGACUGAGUCUCGGAAUGUUUUGAUUGUGGAGUUUAUAGAGUUCAGGCUGAAGUUUUAUAAAAAUAACUUGCAGCAGCAUGGAGGACUGAUGAGAAAGUAGACAGAUGCUGGAAGCAGGAAAACUGAACAGCAGGUCACUGGCCAAGGAGAAUCAAAGAGCUAGAUGCUGAGAAUAAUGCAGCCAUAACGUGAAAUCUUUUUGAGACCACUCACUCUGGGAGAAAGCAACUGGCUAUGUCAUGAGGAAAUUGAAACCACCUAUGGAGAAAGGCCCACAUGAAUUCUGUAAGUCUGCUACGGUGACAUUUCUGGUUAGGAGUCAGAGUGGAUGGGACACUGAGCAAUAAGGCAAAGUUGGACAUCCCAAAGAUGGCAUAGAUAAACAUGACCAGGAAGAGCAGGAGGCCGAUGUUAAACAACGCAGGAAGGGACAUCAUCAAAGCAAAGAGCAGCGUGCGGAUCCCCUUUGCUCCUUUGAUCAGACGUAGGAUUCGGCCAAUCCUGGCAAGACGGAUCACUCGGAACAAGUUCUGACUCACUGCUGAACUCUUCAGUAUUUAAGUUUUCAAAGUCAGACUCUCCAACAGCAAUUGGCACUGUGACG